UAGAUCCUUAUUUGAAGAAUCCAGAAUACUUUGAAAUGAAAAGAGCAGGACACAGGAUGAAAAGCAAGAGAUGGCUAAUGUCUGCAAAAUACAAGAGCCCUGAAUAACCAUCCUCGCCGGUGAAUAAACAAAGGACAGAUUGGACUUUUUGAAGGAAGCACACUUUGCUUCAUGUAAUGCAAGAGUGGCUAAAGGGCUGGCUAGAUGCAAAGGAGAAGAUUGUGGAUUGGAAGAAGUAUAUCAGAGGAAGGCAUAUGAUUCACAUUUCAGUAUAGACCCAACAGAUGAAAAUAUUCAAAUCUAUAAAAAAUGCUCUUCUAAAGUA